rnacentral:rRNA from 1 species
GGGGGCGCUACACUGGCAGUCGAACGGGGAUAUGCUGGAAAGGCUUCGGCCGAGGAAGGCAUAUUCGAGUGGCGGACGGGUGAGUAACGCGUGAGCAACCUGCCUUUCAGAGGGGGAUAACGAUUGGAAACGAUCGCUAAUACCGCAUAACAUUGCAGAGCCGCAUGGUUUUGCAAUCAAAGGAGCAAUCCGCUGAGAGAUGGGCUCGCGUCCAAUUAGGUAGAUGGCGGGGUAGAGGCCCACCAUGCCGACGAUUGGUAGCCGGACUGAGAGGUUGAACGGCCACAUUGGGACUGAGACACGGCCCAGACUCCUACGGGAGGCAGCAGUGGGGAAUAUUGGGCAAUGGGGGGAACCCUGACCCAGCGACGCCGCGUGAGGGAAGAAGGUUUUCGGAUUGUAAACCUCUGUCCUUGGUGACGAUAAUGACGGUAGCCAAGGAGGAAGCCACGGCUAACUACGUGCCAGCAGCCGCGGUAAUACGUAGGUGGCGAGCGUUGUCCGGAAUUACUGGGUGUAAAGGGAGCGUAGGCGGGAGAGCAAGUCGACUGUGAAAUCUAUGGGCUUAACCCAUAGCUGCGAUCGAAACUGUUCAUCUUGAGUGAAGUAGAGGCAGGCGGAAUUCCUAGUGUAGCGGUGAAAUGCGUAAAUAUUAGGAGGAACACCAGUGGCGAAGGCGGCCUGCUGGGCUUUAACUGACGCUGAGGCUCGAAAGCGUGGGUAGCAAACAGGAUUAGAUACCCUGGUAGUCCACGCUGUAAACGAUGAUUACUAGGUGUGGGGGGACUGACCCCUUCCGUGCCGGAGUUAACACAAUAAGUAAUCCACCUGGGGAGUACGGCCGCAAGGC